rnacentral:tRNA from 1 species
GUGGCUGUAGCUCAGUUGGUUAGAGCAUCUGAUUGUGGAUCAGAAGGUCGCGGGUUCGAAUCCCGUCAGUCACC